AAAGAGUUAAUUAGUUAAAAAAGUUAUUGUGGCAAAAUUAUUUUUAAUAAUUAAUUUGAAAUGAAAUGUUAAUCGUUUUUAAAUAUAUCUAGUUUUUUCAGAAAAAAAUUUAAUUUUAAAUUUUAAAAAUAAAAUAAUUAAUUAUUUAAUUAUUUUUGUAAAAAAAUUUUAUAUUUUAAGGGAUAAACUUUAAAUUAAAAAAUUAUAAUAAUAAUAAAAAUACAUGAAAAUUUUAUGAUCUAAAUUAUCAAUAAAAUUUAAUUUAUUAUAAAUAAUUUCAUUUUAAUAAAAAUUUAAUUUUAAUUUAAUUUUUUAUGGGGGAAAAAAUUAAAAUAAAAAAAAAUUUAGUUAUAAUGAUAAAAUUAGUAUAAAAUUGGUAAAAAAUAUUUUAUUUAUUAAAUUAAUUAAUAAAAAGGAAUUCGGCAAAUUUUUAUAUUCACUUGUUUAUCAAAAACAUGUCUUUUUGAAAUUAAUUUAAAGUCUAAUCUGCCCACUGAUUUUAAUUAAAGGGCUGCAGUAUAUUGACUGUACAAAGGUAGCAUAAUCAUUAGUCAUUUAAUUGAUGACUUGUAUGAAAGAUUGAAUGAAAUAUAUACUGUCUCUUUAUUAAUUUAUAGAAUUUAAUUUUUUAAUUAAAAAGUUAAAAUAGUUUAAAAAGACGAGAAGACCCUAUAGAGUUUUAUAGAAUUUUUUGUUUUAAUAUGUUUAUAAAUAUAGAAAUUGAAAUAAUAUUUAUUUUAUUUUGUUGGGGGGAUAAAAAAAUAAAAAAAACUUUUUUUUUUCUUAAACAUGGAUAAGUGAAUAAUUGAUCCAAUUUUAUUGAUUAAAAGAUAUAAUUACCUUAGGGAUAACAGCGUAAUUUUUUUUUUUAGUUCAAAUAAAAAAAAAAGUUUGCGACCUCGAUGUUGGAUUAAGAUAAAAUUUAAAUGCAAAAGUUUAAAAUUUUG
rnacentral:rRNA from 1 species